rnacentral:rRNA from 1 species
AUUGAACGCUGGCGGCAGGCCUAACACAUGCAAGUCGAGCGGAUGAAGGGAGCUUGCUCCUGGAUUCAGCGGCGGACGGGUGAGUAAUGCCUAGGAAUCUGCCUGGUAGUGGGGGAUAACGUCCGGAAACGGGCGCUAAUACCGCAUACGUCCUGAGGGAGAAAGUGGGGGAUCUUCGGACCUCACGCUAUCAGAUGAGCCUAGGUCGGAUUAGCUAGUUGGUGGGGUAAAGGCCUACCAAGGCGACGAUCCGUAACUGGUCUGAGAGGAUGAUCAGUCACACUGGAACUGAGACACGGUCCAGAGUCCUAAGGGAGGCAGCAGUGGGGAAUAUUGGACAAUGGGCGAAAGCCUGAUCCAGCCAUGCCGCGUGUGUGAAGAAGGUCUUCGGAUUGUAAAGCACUUUAAGUUGGGAGGAAGGGCAGUAAGUUAAUACCUUGCUGUUUUGACGUUACCAACAGAAUAAGCACCGGCUAACUUCGUG